CAGAGUUGCAAAACUCCCAAACCCACUGUGAAUCUACCUGUUUUGUUGCUUCGGCGGGCAGCCCCAGGGCGGGGCCGCGCCUGGGAGCGUCCCAGGUGCCCGCCGGAGGUUCUGAAACUCGAAAUUUUUAGUUGUCUGAGCAGUACAAGCAAAUAAGUUA
rnacentral:misc_RNA from 1 species